UCUUUCGAGAAUCUCUUCCAACUCAAAAAAAAAAUCUUCCCUUUUCUCCCCAAAUAAAUCGGAUCAAACGAUCCAUCAUCACCGAUAACACAAAUCCCUUUUUUGUUUGUUGAUGAUCAUAGAUCUUACGCUCAUAAAAACUUUAUUUUCGAACUAAAACUUAAUGCUUUUAACUUUGCAGAUACGGUUGCAUGUGUUCUCACAUGAUAAAUCUGCUUAAUCAGAUGAGAAUCUGUUGUUUUUGGUUUAUGCCCGAAGAGGAUCUUAAAAAAUAAAGUCAUAGGGGUAAUACAAACCAAGAUCGGACACUUCGGAUCUUGUAUUUCUUAUCUAUUCAGAUAUAGUUGCAUGUGUCCAAAGAGGAUCUUAAAAAAGUGGUUUUAUUAGUAGAAACCAAGCUCGGACACCCCGGUUCCAGAUUUCCUAUCUAUUCAGAAAAGGGAGAUCGAGUGAAACAUGGUCAAACGAAGGUGUGGAGUACUUUCACCUGGAUGGACCAAUCGAUUCUGUAAGAUUUCAGCUGGGAAAAGUUAUGUCUAACCGGCUGUGUAUUUGCUUAACGUUUGGGAAACCUUUUUGGAAACAGCUAUUAAUCUAAUCAAGGAUUAGUUCCUUUCAUAACAGAGCAAUAUAUAGAUAUAACAUGUCAAUGUGUUAAUUAGUUGCAACAUAUUUCUGUAACGAUGGAAACUUAUUAUCUUGUCAUAUAUGUAAAAGUUACAUUUAGUUGGAUAGUAAAGAACUAAUUGGCAUAAAUAUAGAUAUCGUUACAAAUAUAAUUUAAUGGCGUGAUUUGUGGGAGCUUUGGUGGUCUCUUUUUCU